CGACAAGGAGCCCCUCAUCCCCAUCCAGCUUGCAGAUGGUCUGUCGGGCUCGGCCCCCACUAACAUGGCAUCUCCGUCCACUCCUCAUUCAUUUGACAUGUGCCAAGGCCUCUCUGAAUUUGGAUCUGCCAUUCG